CAGAGGGCUGCAAAUGCCACUGAAAACGUUUGCAGACCCCUAAGCUACAUAAAGCUCAGCAAAGUCUUGCAGGGAGCACAGAGACUCAGCCUGGACAGAGUCUCUAGGGUUCACAGAGGCCACGGAGGGGAGUUAAAUAAAGCUCAGUGAACGAAUAAAACAACUGAGGGUAACAGGACAUCAGAGAUAUGAGCAUGGAGAGUAGCUGUGGACCCUGAACCCCUAGAACAAGCAGCCUCUUAAGCUCAGUGCCUGCCAGGUGUGUCCCGUUACUUUCUGGGCCUUCCCAGUUCCACGAGCCUUAGCUCUCUGAAUUCCUGAGGGAAUACCCUGAACUGACACCCUCCAAUACUAGUGAGCCUGACAUUCAGAUGCAUUGGACAAUUGGGCAGGUCUGCACAGCCAGCAUGGACUCCAUCUCUUUGCCUCCAUUUUCACAUUCCACUAGAACACAAGGGA
rnacentral:lncRNA from 10 species